AUUCCCAAAAAAAAAAUUCCGACCUACCUACCCUAAUUUUUUCCAUUUUACCGGAAACAAAAUUCUUUUUGGCCUAAUCAUAGUUUUUGCUUAUAAUUAUAAUGAAGGUGAACUGUUGUUUGAGUCACUCUUAAGCAUACAUGUAGUUUAUUGUUUAAAUUUGCUGUUUCUACUGUGUAACAAUCCUCAAUUGAAAUAAAUAUCAAACUUACAGAUAGAUAAUAUUGUUUCAUCAUUGUAUCUUACUCAAGUUACUGAGAAUCUAUUUGUUGACUGGCACUAUUUAUUAUAGGGGCUAUUCUUUCACAGUAUGACCUUGAUACCUGUACAUGGUAUACAAAUACAGUGUAUACACACUGCAGAGAUAAAGGGUUAACUCUGGAAUGCUGCUGUGUUAUAAAUAGAACUCUCAACCAAUGAAAAUAAAGAUAUGUACUGUGGAGCCAAAACACACAAAGUAAUCCCAACAGUCCUGUUUUAUUUCAAAGGCCUUUUAAAUAUUUAAAAAUAGACAAUGAAAGAUAUUCUCUUUUUAGUAGAUUAAGUAUUUUUUAAAACAUUCUAGUGGAGAUUCCUUCAACAACACAUAGCAAAAUAGAAAGCUGCUCAAGAAUAUCAAAAGUUUAAAAGUAAACAGGAACUUCUUUGUUGGAGAUAUUCCUUUACACAUGCAGCUGGAAUUUAAACAGUUUAUGUUGCUAAAAUAACUUUUAAAUGGACACUGGAUAAAGUAUGAGGUGUGUAUAUGCAGUACCUGACAUAUGCCAAAACACACAUGGAUAAAAUUAUGAGGCCUGAGACAUUUUUGGCUUCAGUGAUUUACACUUUGUAGAGUGAAUGGUGCUCACAGAGAAACCCUAUUGAUGUGUAAACUUUUUGAUGGUAUACACCUCUUGACUUGAUGGCAAAUAGUGGAAAACAGUGGCAUUCUCCAUGCUGGUUAGUGGAGAAUGGUGGAGAAAUAUCCAUGGCAAAUAGUGGCAUUUAGAGAGAAACAGUGGCAUAUUUUACACUGAUUGCCACAACAGUUAUGGUGGCAAAUAGUGGAAAAUUUUAGUGGCAAAUGGUGAAAUACGUUCCAAUACUCCACUGAUAGUGGCAUUCAAUGGAAAACAAUGGCAGUUUUUACAUCGAUAUGUGACAGUGGCAAACAGUGAAAAACUUAAAUGGCAAAUAGUGAAAAACGUUCCAAUACUCCACUGAUACUGGCAUUUAAUGUAAAAUGGUGGAAAAUUUUGACUGGCCUUUCCAACCUCUAUUUUUUCAAUGUUUUCCAUCAGUUUCCACUCAAAGAGGCUUGUUCCAAUACUCCAGUGUUUUCCAAUGAUUUUUCAGUGGAAAAUGUUGGCAAAUUUACAGAAGGG
rnacentral:lncRNA from 1 species